UGAAAAAAAUAAGUGAUUUUUUUAAAAAAUAAAAAAAUGAUUUUUUCAAAAAUAAAAAAAUUAAUAUUAAAAAAAAUGGAUAUCCAUUCACUAAAAAUAUGAUAAUGGUUGAAUUAGAUGAAUUUUAUUUUUAAUGAAUGAUUUAGAUUAGAUGUUUUUAAAAAACUUUUAAUGUAUUGUUAAUGGACUAAUGAAUUGUUUUGAUCCAUCGAUUGACGAUCCAAUCUAUAUUCAUCUAAUCUAUCUAUUUUGCCACCUCUAUUCACCAUACCUUUCGACUGCAA
rnacentral:lncRNA from 1 species